AGGAACUUAGGAUAUUUUAAACCGAGGGCCUUCAAAGCCCCUAAAAAGAGCACAUCUCUUAGCUCCUG
rnacentral:tRNA from 1 species